rnacentral:rRNA from 1 species
UACGUAGGGUGCAAGCGUUGUCCGGAAUUAUUGGGCGUAAAGAGCGUGUAGGCGGCCAGGUAGGUCUGCUGUGAAAACUCGAGGCUCAACCUCGAGACGUCGGCGGAAACCAUCUGGCUAGAGUCCGGAAGAGGAGAGUGGAAUUCCCGGUGUAGCGGUGAAAUGCGCAGAUAUCAGGAAGAACACCCGUGGCGAAGGCGGCUCUCUGGGACGGUACUGACGCUGAGACGCGAAAGCGUGGGGAGCGAACAGG